UACGGGGGAUGCAAGCGUUAUCCGGAAUGACUGGGCGUAAAGGGUGCGUAGGUGGUUUGACAAGUUGGUAGCGCAACUCCGGGGCUCAACCUCGGCACUACUACCAAAACUGUUGAACUUGAGUGCAGGAGAGGUAAGUGGAAUUCCUAGUGUAGCGGUGAAAUGCGUAGAUAUUAGGAGGAACACCAGUGGCGAAGGCGGCUUACUGGACUGUAACUGACGUUGAGGCUCGAAAGCGUGGGGAGCAAACAGG
rnacentral:rRNA from 1 species